AGUUGAAAAAUUUUUGAAGUAUGAAAAACUAUAGCAUGCAUAUAAAAGUAUCCAUGAAUGAUCCUAAAUUGAAUCAUAUUAAAUAUUUCUAUAUGGUCGUUAUUACAAUGUCAAAUUCUUUGUUUCCUUUGUCUUUCUUUUUAAAAAAAGUUUAAGUUAACAUGAAAUUUCGUAAUUGCAGCUAUUGUAAUCUUUUCUGUGUAGCUAGGUCCAGGUAUGCAUAUGGUGUCUAUAUGACAUAGGUGCAUUAAAUUCUAUUCUUUCUCUUUUUGAGUAAGUUGCCAGAGCUUUGGGUUUUCAUCAGAAACCAUAUAUAGCAAUUGAUCCAAAGCAUACUCCAAGAUAUAUAACUAGGACUUAUGACAUCUGGAUCGAGGACUCACGUGUGACUCAGAUUAGUUUCCUUUGGACAUGUUAACAUGCCCUCUAGAUGUAAUCAUAUAUAUAGACGAGGAGCUUGAUACAACUAUUAUGAUUUCUAAUAUACAAAGUUGUAAGUAAUUAAAUGGUUCUCCUGAUCUCUCUUAUAUGAAUACUUGUACAUGUGUAUGUAUAAAUAAACCUGGCUCCAUACUGCUCCAGCCGCUCGCUGUAAUAGCUUGCUUCUCGGG
rnacentral:lncRNA from 1 species